UUGAAUACAGGAAAUGAUUAAACAUUACAAGAAUAUUAUCAACACUUACUGAUAUAUUCGCCGAAUAGAUAAGGUUUUUAGGACCAGUUUUACCAACCCGCUAUAACCAAAAUAUAUUUAGUUUAUGUAGUGACGUAAUACAUAUUAUAUUUGGAUAUCUCACAUAUAUAAACUAGUGAACAGGAAUUUGUACAAACAGUAAGAACCCGCAUUGCUCGUAGACGUGUUUGUUGAGAAGUAAUCGAAAAAUGUCUGACGAACAAGUACAGCAAGUAGAGAUGACGGAGGAGGAACCAAAAGUAGAAGAGGCAGGUGACAGCGAAAACGCAACAGAACCUACAAAUCCUACUUUCACUAAUGUCGUCGUUACGCCCCCAAAUUGUCCAAAAGGAUUCCAGAGGGGAGCGGAUGGUGUGUGCCGAGAAGUAUUCUAAAAUCACCAUUUAAAUCCCCGUUUUAAUCACUCUCCAUAGACUAUGGAUCUAGUUAUCUCACAAUCUAGGAUAAUAAUCCUUUGUUUGGAUUUAUAUUUGUCGUCUGAUACUAAUAUAUGUUUGUUUUUAAUUUGAAAUUCAAUUCGAAUGUGCUAUCUCAAUUGAUUUACAAAAUUGUAUUAAAUUUAUUUAGAAUUUAGUUUCAAAUAGAGUUGGUAAAAAUAACGAUUUAGGUUUAUAAUUAAUGUCUAUUUUAACUGUGAUCUUAUAGGUUAUUAUAUUUUGUUUGUGAAAUUGCAUUAGUGUAAUAAAUAUUUCUAAAUUUA